rnacentral:misc_RNA from 1 species
AUAACUAAUUACAUAGAUUGUGACUAAUUUGCGAGAUUAAUAUUUUAAGCCUAAUUGCUCCAUGAUUUGACAAUGUGGUGUUACAGUAAUAUGCUAAUGACAGAUUAAUUAGGCUUAAUAAAUUCAUCUCGCGGUUUACUGGCUGAUUCUGUAAUUAGUU